CACCACAACAGGUGGAGCCUGCGGUUUAAUCGGACUCAACGCCGGGAAACUCACCAGAUAAGACAGCGGAAUGAUAGCCGGGCUGAAGACUCUGCUUGACUAGCUGAGAGGAGGUGCAUGGCCGUCGUCAGUUCGUACUGUGAAGCACCCUGUUAAGUCAGGCAACGAGCGAGACCCACGCCAACAGUUGCCAGCAUGUCCUCCGGGAUGGUGGGGACACUGUUGGGACCGCCUCUGCUAAAGAGGAGGAAGGAAUGGGCAACGGUAGGUCAGCAUGCCCCGAAUUAUCCGGGCUACACGCGGGCUACAAUGGUCAGGACAAUGGGCAUCAACACCGAAAGGUGAAGGCAAUCUCUUAAACCUGUCCUUAGUUCGGAUUGUGGGCUGCAACUCGCCCACAUGAAGCUGGAAUCUGUAGUAAUCGCGUCUCAAAAUGGCGCGGUGAAUAUGUCCCUGCUCCUU
rnacentral:rRNA from 1 species